rnacentral:rRNA from 1 species
AUUGAACGCUGGCGGCAGGCCUAACACAUGCAAGUCGAGCGGAUGAAGGGAGCUUGCUCCUGGAUUCAGCGGCGGACGGGUGAGUAAUGCCUAGGAAUCUGCCUGGUAGUGGGGGAUAACGUCCGGAAACGGGCGCUAAUACCGCAUACGUCCUGAGGGAGAAAGUGGGGGAUCUUCGGACCUCACGCUAUCAGAUGAGCCUAGGUCGGACUAGCUAGUUGGUGGGGUAAAGGCCUACCAAGGCGACGAUCCGUAACUGGUCUGAGAGGAUGAUCAGUCACACUGGAACUGAGACACGGUCCAGACUCCUACGGGAGGCAGCAGUGGGGAAUAUUGGACAAAGGGCGAAAGCCUGAUCCAGCCAUGCCGCGUGUGUGAAGAAGGUCUUCGGAUUGUAAAGCACUUUAAGUUGGGAGGAAGGGCAGUAAGUUAAUACCUUGCUGUUUUGACGUUACCAACAGAAUAAGCACCGGCUAACUUCGUG